rnacentral:rRNA from 1 species
UACGUAGGUGGCAAGCGUUGUCCGGAUUUACUGGGCGUAAAGAGCGCGCAGGCGGUCGAUUUAGUCGCGUGUGAAAGCCCCCGGCUCAACUGGGGAGGGUCACGCGAUACUGAUCGACUCGAAGGCAGGAGAGGGUAGUGGAAUUCCCGGUGUAGUGGUGAAAUGCGUAGAUAUCUGGAGGAACACCGGUGGCGAAGGCGGCAUCCUGGACCGGUAUUGACGCGUGAGGCGCGAAAGCUAGGGGAGCAAACGGGG